UACAGAGGGUGCAAGCGUUAAUCGGAAUUACUGGGCGUAAAGCGUGCGUAGACGGUUGCGUAAGUCAGAUGUGAAAGCCCCGGGCUCAACCUGGGAAUUGCAUUUGAGACUGCGUAGCUAGGGUGCGGAAGAGGGAAGCGGAAUUUCCGGUGUAGCGGUGAAAUGCGUAGAUAUCGGAAGGAACACCAGUGGCGAAAGCGGCUUCCUGGUCCCAGCACCGACGUUCAGGCACGAAAGCGUGGGGAGCAAACAGGG
rnacentral:rRNA from 1 species